GUAAGGUCCGAGCGUUGUCCGGAAUCAUUGGGCGUAAAGGGUACGUAGGCGGGUAAGCAAGUUAGAAGUGAAAUCCUAUAGCCCAACUAUAGUAAGCUUUUAAAACUGCUCAUCUUGAGGUAUGGAAGGGAAAGUGGAAUUCCUAGUGUAGCGGUGAAAUGCGCAGAUAUUAGGAGGAAUACCGGUGGCGAAGGCGACUUUCUGGCCAUAACCUGAUGCUGAGGUACGAAAGCGUGGGUAGCAAACAGGAUUAGAUACCCUGGUAGUCCACGCCGUAAACGAUGAGUGUUAGGUGUCUGGAGUAAAUCUGGGUGCCGCAGCUAACGCAUUAAACACUCCGCCUGGGGAGUACGCGCGCAAGCGUGAAACUCAAAGGAAUUGACGGGGACCCGCACAAGCAGCGGAGCAUGUGGUUUAAUUCGACGCAACGCGAAGAACCUUACCAAGUCUUGACAUAUUACGGCGGAACUUAGAGAUAAGUUCUUAUGACUUCGGUCAACUGUAAUACAGGUGGUGCAUGGUUGUCGUCAGCUCGUGUCGUGAGAUGUUGGGUUAAGUCCCAUAACGAGCGCAACCCCUAUUGUUAGUUACCAUCAUUAAGUUGGGGACUCUAACGAUACUGCCGGUGACAAACCGGAGGAAGGUGGGGACGACGUCAAAUCAUCAUGCCCUUUAUGACUUGGGCUACACACGUGCUACAAUGGCAGGUACACAGAGCAGCUAAACAGUGAUGUCUUGCGAAUCUCAAAAAGCCUGUCCCAGUUCGGAUUGUACUCUGCAACUCGAGUACAUGAAGUUGGAGUUGCUAGUAAUCGUGAAUCAGAAUGUCGCGGUGAAUGCGUUCCCGGGUCUUGUACACACCGCCCGUCACACCAUGGAAGUUGGCAAUACCCGAAGCCUGUGAGCGAACCCUUGUGGACGCAGCAGUCGAAGGUA
rnacentral:rRNA from 1 species